rnacentral:rRNA from 1 species
CUAAACGUCCGUAGCCGGUCUGAUACAUUCGUGGGUAAAUCAACCAGCUCAACUGGUUGAAUUCUGCGAGGACGGUCAGACUUGGGACCGGGAGAGGUGUGGGGUACGCUCAGGGUAGGGGUAAAAUCCUGUCAUCCUGAGCGGACCACCUGUUGCGAAGGCGCCACACUAGAACGGAUCCGACGGUCAGGGACGAAGCCUAGGGGCACGAACCGGAUUAGAUACCCGGGUAGUCCUAGGUGUAAACGCUGUGGACUUGAUGUUGGGGGUGCUCCGAGCACUCUCAGUGUCGAAGCGAAGGUGAUAAGUCCACUGCCUGGGAAGUACGGUCGCAAGGCUGAAACUUAAAGGAAU